ACCCUAAAACCCUAAACCCUAAACCCUAAAACCCGAAACCCGAACCCGAAAACCCGAAACCCGAAACCCUAACCCGAAAACCCGAAACCGAAAAACCCUAAAACCCGAAACCCGAACCCGAAAAACCCUAAACCCGAAACCCGAAAACCCUAAACCCGAAACCCGAAACCCUAAACCCUAAACCUAAAAAAAACCCUAAACCCGAAACCCGAACCCGAAACCCGAAACCCGAACCCGAAACCCGAAAAACCAAACCCGAACCCGAAACCCGAAACCAAACCCGAAACCCGAAACCCGAACCCGAACCCGAAACCCGAAAACCCGAAACCGAACCCGAAACCCGAAACCCGAAACCCUAAACCCUAAAAAACCCUAAACCCGAAACCCGAAACCCAACCCGAAACCCGAAACCCUAACCCGAAACCCGAACCCGAAACCAACCCUAAACCCGAAACCCGAAACCCUAACCCUAAAACCCGAAACCCGAAACCCUAAACCCGAAACCCUAAACCCGAAACCCGAACCCGAAAACCCUAAACCCUAAACCCGAAACCCUAAACCCGAACCCGAAACCCGAAAACCCGAACCCGAAAACCCGAACCCGAACCCGAAACCCUAACCAAACCCUAAACCCUAAACCCGAAAACCGAAACCCUAAACCCUAACCCGAAACCCGAAACCCGAAAACCCUAACCCGAAACCCGAAACCGAAACCCGAAACCCGAAACCCGAAACCCGAAACCCUAAACCCGAAACCCGAAACCCUAAACCCGAACCCUAAACCCGAAACCCUAAACCCUAAAACCCGAAACCCGAACCCUAAACCCGAAACCCGAAACCCGAAACCCGAAACCCGAACCCGAAACCCUAAACCCGAAAACCCGAAACCCGAAAACCCGAAACCCUAAACCCGAAACCCGAAACCCGAAAAAACCCGAAACCCGAAACCCGAAACCCGAACCCGACCCGAAACCCUAAACCCGAAACCCGAAACCCGAAACCCGAAACCCGAAACCCGAAACCCUAAACCCGAAACCCUAAACCCGAAACCCGAAACCCUAAACCCGAAACCCGAAAACCCGAAAACCCGAAACCCGAACCCUAAACCCUAAACCCGAAACCCGAAAACCCGAAACCCGAAACCCGAAACCCGAAACCCGAAACCCGAAACCCUAAACCCGAAAACCCGAAACCCUAAACCAAAACCCGAAACCCGAACCCGAAACCCGAAACCCGAACCCGAAAAAACCCGAAACCCGAAACCCGAAACCCUAAAAACCCUAAACCCUAAACCAACCCGAACCCGAACCCGAAACCCGAAAACCCGAAACCCGAAACCCGAAACCCUAAACCCGAAACCCGAACCCGAAACCCGAACCGAAAAAAACCCGAAACCCGAAACCCGAAAACCCAACCAACCCGAAACCCUAAACCCGAAACCCGAAACCCGAAACCCGAAACCCUAAACCCGAAACCCGAACCCGAACCCGACCCAAAACCCGAAACCCGAAACCCGAAAACCCGAAACCCGAAACCCUAAACCCGAAACCCGAACCCGAAACCCGAAAACCCGAAACCCUAAACCAACCCGAAACCCUAAACCCGAAACCGAAACCCGAAACCCGAAAACCCGAAACCCUAAACCCGAAACCCGAAACCCUAAAACCCGAAACCCGAAACCCGAAAACCCGAACCCGAAACCCGAAAACCCGAAAACCCGAAACCCGAAACCCGAAACCCGAAACCCGAAAAACCCGAAACCCGAAACCCUAAACCCGAAACCCGAACCCGAAACCCGAAACCCGAAACCCGAAACCCGAAACCCGAAACCCGAAACCCGAAACCCGAACCCGAAACCCGAAACCCUAAAACCCGAAACCCUAAACCCGAACCCGAAACCCAAACCCGAAACCCGAAACCCGAAACCCUAACCAACCCGAAAAACCCGAACCCGAAAAACCCGAAACCCUAAACCCUAAAACCCUAAACCCGAAAAAACCCUAAAACCCUAAACCCGAAAACCCAAAACCCGAAACCCGAAAAACCCGAAACCCGAAACCCGAAACCCGAAAACCCGAAACCCGAAACCCGAAACCCGAAAACCCGAACCCUAAACCCAAACCCGAAACCCGAAACCCUAACCCGAAACCCGAAACCUAAACCCGAAACCCGAAACCCGAAACCCGAAAAACCCUAAACCCGACCCGAAACCCGAAACCCUAAACCCGAACCCGAACCCGAAAACCCGAAAACCCGAAAACCCGAACCCGAAACCCGAAACCCGAAACCCUAAAACCCUAACCCGAAACCAACCCGAAACCCGAAACCCGAAACCCUAACCCGAAAACCCGAAACCCGAAACCCUAAACCCGAAACCCAAAACCCGAAACCCGAAACCCGAAAAACCCAAACCCGAAAAACCCGAACCCGAAACCCUAAACCCGAAACCCUAAACCCGAACCCGAAAAACCCUAACCCGAAACCAACCCGAAACCGAAAC
rnacentral:lncRNA from 1 species